rnacentral:rRNA from 1 species
UCCCCUAGUAACGGCGAGUGAAGCGGGAACAGCUCAAAUUUGAAAUCUGGCCCUUGGGUCCGAGUUGUAAUUUGCAGAGGAUGCUUUUGGUGCGGUGCCUUCCGAGUUCCCUGGAACGGGACGCCUUAGAGGGUGAGAGCCCCGUACGGUUGGACACCAAGCCUAUGUAAAGCUCCUUCGACGAGUCGAGUAGUUUGGGAAUGCUGCUCAAAAUGGGAGGUAUAUUUCUUCUAAAGCUAAAUAUUGGCCAGAGACCGAUAGCGCACAAGUAGAGUGAUCGAAAGAUGAAAAGCACUUUGAAAAGAGGGUUAAAUAGCACGUGAAAUUGUUGAAAGGGAAGGAUUUAUGACCAGACUUUUUCUAGGGGGAUCAUCCGGUGUUCUCACCGGUGCACUUCCCCUAGUUGAGGCCAGCAUCGGUUUCUGUCGGGGGAUAAAAGCUUUAGGAAUGUGGCUCCCUCCGGGGAGUGUUAUAGCCUGUUGCAUAAUACCCUGACGGGGACCGAGGUUCGCGCAUUGCAAGGAUGCUGGCGUAAUGGUUAUUAAUCACCCGUCUUGAAACACGGACCAAGGAGUCGAACAUUUGUGCGAGUGUUUGGGUGUUAAACCCUCACGCGUAAUGAAAGUGAACGGAGGUGAGAGCCUUUCGGGGUGCAUCAUCGACCGAUCCUGAUGUCUUCGGAUGGAUUUGAGUAAGAGCAUUAAUGUUCGGACCCGAAAGAUGGUGAACUAUGCGUGGAUAGGGUGAAGCCAGAGGAAACUCUGGUGGAGGCUCGCAGCGGUUCUGACGUGCAAAUCGAUCGUCAAAUCUGCGCA